CAGAGAAUGGAAUGGGAGCUCUCAAACUGGAUCUAGCUCUAGGCGGGGAUGGGGAGCUCCAGCUAGUCCCAUGGUGAUUGUCCUCGGCUUGACAGAUGGCAGGCUUGGCGUCAGUUGUGGCUGGGAGUGAAGAGAGGCCUCCUUCGGGAGAUUAGACUGCAGCUCUGCACAGCAGAUCCCGAUGAAGAGAGACAGUCCAUGGUUCUGAAUUGUCUAUUGUCCUGACAGAAGGCGAGCAGCUAGGAUGCAUGGAUAAAGCAUCUAACCCAAACUCUGGAGCCAACCUGAUGCUCUCCCACACUUCCGUGGUGCCUUCCUACCAAAACCUCGACCAGAACUGAGGGGACUCUGCAGAGAGACCAUGAAAAUGCACCAAGGAGAACACAGAAAAGUGUGCUCUGCUCGUGGGAUGCACGCUAGAUACAAAAUGGCAAGGUGUCGUCAUCUAUUCCUUAAUCAGAUUGUUUUUGCCAAGGGUUUUCCAGAACCUAGCAAAAAUUAUUCUUUGAGACUUAAAAGUCAACAUAUAAAAAUAAGAAUCAGAAUGAAGAAAGACAAUCUUUCAGAUAAUGAACUAUGAUAUAAAUAUGAUUAAAAAGGAAUGAGAAGAGACUAGCAGCUAUCCCAAUGGGAUGACACAUAGACACAGACUCUGACAGACAUGCACUUAUAUAAUAACAGACUUCACUUUCUUUCAAUCUGUGAAAACAGAUCUUUCAAUAAAUACACCAAAGUAUUGGUAAUGUGA